rnacentral:rRNA from 1 species
UUGGAGGGCAAGUCUGGUGCCAGCAGCCGCGGUAAUUCCACCUCCAAUAGCGUAUAUUAAAGUUGUUGCAGUUAAAAAGCUCGUAGUUGAAUUUCGGAAUCCAUCCGUCGGUCGGGCUUCACGGUCCGCACUGGUGUGAUGGAUUCCUACCUUCUGAAUAACCAGCAUGCUAUUAAUUUGGUGCGUUGGGGAAGCAGGACUGUUACCUUGAAAAAAUUAGAGUGCUUAAAGCAGGCUAGUGCCUGAAUACAUUAGCAUGGAAUAAUGAAAUAGGACGGCAUGGUUCUAUUUUGUUGGUUUCUAGGAUCACCGUAAUGAUUAAUAGGGAUAGUUGGGGGCAUUAGUAUUCAAUUGUCAGAGGUGAAAUUCUUGGAUUUAUUGAAGACUAACUUCUGCGAAAGCAUUUGCCAAGGAUGUUUUCAUUAAUCAAGAACGAAAGUUAGGGGAUCGAAGACGAUCAGAUACCGUCGUAGUCUUAACCAUAAACUAUGCCGACUAGGGAUCGGACGAUGUUGAUUUUUUAAUGACUCGUUCGGCGCCUUACGGGAAAC